GGCCCUUGGCUCUAGGCCUUUGGCAGGAGGCCUUUGUUGAUGGAGAAUUUUAAAACAUUCUGGAGGGUAUGGUUACACUUAUCACUGCCCUUUCUCUCCUCUCCUGCCUGCUGGGCCCUCCUUCUUCCUCCUUUAAAUAGAGAUUAGUGUUAUGGUUCUAAAGUAGUACAAGCUUUUCAGUGGAUAGUUUAAUGUGAAAACUAACAUGUAUCUUGGUUGAUUUCAGGUUGUUUUUUGAGCCAGUAACAACCCCUUGCGGACAUUCGUUCUGUAAGAAUUGUCUUGAGCGUUGUUUAGAUCAUGCACCAUAUUGUCCUCUUUGCAAAGAAAGCUUAAAAGAGUAUCUAGCAGAUAGGAGGUACUGUGUCACACAGCUGUUGGAAGAAUUAAUAGUGAAGUAUCUGCCUGAUGAACUGUCUGAGAGAAAAAAAAUAUAUGAUGAAGAAACUGCUGAACUCUCACACUUGACCAAGAAUGUUCCAAUAUUUGUUUGCACUAUGGCCUACCCCACUGUGCCUUGCCCUCUCCAUGUAUUUGAGCCAAGAUACAGAUUGAUGAUUCGAAGAAGUAUACAGACUGGAACCAAACAGUUUGGCAUGUGUGUCAGUGAUACACAAAAUAG
rnacentral:lncRNA from 1 species